CGGGCCGCGGCCGGCCCCUCCCCCCGCCCUUCCUCCAGCGCGCUCCUGGCGCCACGUCGAGUUCUCAGCCCUGACUGGGGCGAGGGGACGAGCAAGGCCUCAGGGACGCGGGGCUGCGAUAAGUCGCUUUUCUUUUGUUUUUAGGCGUCAAUGCAGUGGAAGAAGGAAUUGUUCCAAGACACGUAAAUCGAGACUCCCCGGUGCCGUCUGCAAACGUAGCAGCCUCCCUCCGCUGUUCUGCACCUUUCAGGCGCUUCACCGAGCUCUUCUCCUACUCCUGAUGCUUCUGUCUUUCACUCUUUCCACCGAUCUUACGGUCUGUUUUCUAGCUGAGAACCGUUUCACUCCAGAGAACCAUAAAAUUAAAGCCGAGUCAAAGGACAUUGGUUGCCACGCUCAGGAUCACCAAACCAGCUGGCCACAAAGGGAGUCCCUGGACACUCAUCCCUGAGCUGUUACCAAGCUCAUUCACUGGUAUGGACACGUGAUAGGCCCUAUCAAGGGCACAUAGAAAAUAAACCCGCUCUUAUUAUACAAUUUCUGAUUUACAUUAAAAAAAAAAAAGAUUUUAAGUAAUCUCUACACCCGACCUGGGCUGGAACUCACCACCCCAAAAUCAAGCAGUACUGGUUCCACCAACUGAGCCAGCCAGGAAAUCCCUGUUUUAAAAUUUAUAGCUCCUCAGUUUAGGGUGAAAGCCUUACAGGCAGAAAUCGUGUUUAUAUGCCUACUCCUCUGAACAUUCUGGAACAGAAGGAGAACACAGGCAGACUAUAAUGGCGGACAGGAGCCAGCCUUCCUUCUAUUCCUUUCAGGGCAGGGUGCACAGCCUCUUAUUGCUAUUUGGGUGUGGUGGGCCCUUGACAGAAGGUUAAGAUUUAAUUCAAAUCAUACGGAAUGCAUAAAAGUCACCAAGUCUCCAAAAGACUGUUUUUUUUUUUAAUUUAUCUUGAGACUCCAGCAAACUUAAACAUACGGAUCUGUGCAAUAGCCAGUUUGCUUCAAGCUCCAGAAAUUUACACCGAUGUUAUCAUAAAAAUGAAGUUAUUAGAAGUCGUGGUUUGCUAUCUGAGGAAUGUGGAGCCAAUUCUGGCAGUAUAAAGGAACUUUUUAAUCUCUUGGUGCAAA